CGAAGGGGGCAAGCGUUGUUCGGAUUUACUGGGCGUAAAGGGCGCGCAGGCGGCUCUUCAAGUCAGAUGUGAAAGCCCCGGGCUCAACCUGGGAACUGCAUUUGAGACUGAAGAACUCGAGUUCGGGAGAGGAUGGCGGAAUUCCCAGUGUAGAGGUGAAAUUCGUAGAUAUUGGGAAGAACACCGGUGGCGAAGGCGGCCAUCUGGACCGAGACUGACGCUGAGGCGCGAAAGCGUGGGGAGCAAACAGGAUUAGAUACCCUGGUAGUCCACGCCGUAAACGAUGUGUGCUAGACGUCGGGAAGCCUAGCUUUCCGGUGUCGCAGCCAACGCUUUAAGCACACCGCCUGGGGAGUACGGCCGCAAGGUUA
rnacentral:rRNA from 1 species